rnacentral:tRNA from 1 species
GCCUAGUUAGCUUAGUUGGUAGUGCGUCUGCCUUGUAAGCGCUAGGCCGCGGGUUCGAUUCCCGCCAGGCC